UACGUAGGGGGCAGGCGUUAAUCGGAAUUACUGGGCGUAAAGCGUGCGCAGGCGGUUUCUUAAGUCAGAUGUGAAAGCCCCGGGCUUAACCUGGGAACUGCGUUUGAAACUGGGAGACUUGAGUGUGGCAGAGGGGGGUGGAAUUCCACGUGUAGCAGUGAAAUGCGUAGAUAUGUGGAGGAACACCGAUGGCGAAGGCAGCCCCCUGGGUUAACACUGACGCUCAUGCACGAAAGCGUGGGGAGCAAACAGG
rnacentral:rRNA from 1 species